UCCCAGCACCCCGAGUGGUCGGGACGUUUAUUGGGCGUAAAGAGCGUGUAGGCGGCCAGGUAGGUCUGGUGUGAAAACUCGAGGCUUAACCUCGAGAUGUCAUCGGAAACCAUCUGGCUAGAGUCCGGAAGAGGAGAGUGGAAUUCCUGGUGUAGCGGUGAAAUGCGCAGAUAUCAGGAAGAACACCAAUGGCGAAAGCAGCUCUCUGGGACGGUACUGACGCUGAGACGCGAAAGCGUGGGGAGCGAACAGG
rnacentral:rRNA from 1 species